rnacentral:tRNA from 3 species
GUCAAAAUAGCUCAGUUGGUUUAGAGUGUUUGAUUGAAAAUCACAAGGUCGACGGUUCAAAUCCGUCUUUUGACA